CAAUAGCGUAUAUUAAAGUUGUUGCAGUUAAAAAGCUCGUAGUUGGAUUUGUGGCGUACGGUGUGUUCCGGGCACUUGUUGUCUGAGUAACCUGCUGUUGCCAUCCUUGGGUGGAACCUGUGUGGCAUUAGGUUGUAGUGCAGGGGAUGCCCAUCAUUUACUGUGAAAAAAUUAGAGUGUUCAAAGCAGGCUUAUGCCGUUGAAUAUAUUAGCAUGGAAUAAUGAGAUAGGACUUUUUUGCUAUUUUGUUGGUUUGCGCAAAGAGGUAAUGAUUAAUAGGGACAGUUGGGGGUAUUCGUAUUCCAUUGUCAGAGGUGAAAUUCUUGGAUUUUUGGAAGACGAACUACUGCGAAAGCAUUUACCAAGGAUGUUUUCAUUAA
rnacentral:rRNA from 1 species